rnacentral:rRNA from 1 species
ACUGCAAGUCGAAGCGGGAAACGAGGGGAGCUUGCUCCCUUGCGUCAAGCGGCGGACGGGGUGAGUAUUACUUAUGAAGUCUACCUAUUAGUGGGGGAUAUCUCGGGGAAACUCGAAUUAAUACCGCAUACAACCUACGGGAAAAAGGGGGCAACUUGUUGCUCUCGCUAUUAAAUGAACCUAACUCGGAUUAACUAGAUGGUGGGGUAAAGGCCUACCAUGGCGACCAUCUGUACCUGGUCUGAGAGGAAGAACAACCACACCGGGACUGACACACAGCCCGGACUCCUACGGGAGGCAGCAGUGGGGAAUAUUGAACAAUGGGGGCAACCCUGAUCCAGCCAUGCCGCGUGUGUGAAGAAGGCCUUUUGGUUGUAAAGCACUUUAAUCAGUGAAGAAGACUCCAUGGUUAAUACCCAUGUACGAUGACUUUAGCUGCAGAAUAAGCACCGGCUAACUCUGUGCCAGCAGCCGCGGUAAUACAUAGGGUGCGAGCGUUAAUCGGAAUUACUGGGCGUAAAGCGAGCGUAGGUGGCUUGAUAGCUCAUAUGUUAAAGCCCCGCGCUUAACCUGGGAACGGCAUCUGAUACUGUUAGGCUACAGUAGGUUAGAGGAAGGUAGAAUUCCUCGUGGGGCGGUGAAAUGCAUAGAAAUCUGGAGGAGUACCGAUCGCGAAGGCAGCCUUCUCUCUUCAGACUCACACUGAUGUUCGAACACGUGGGU